GCGUUGCAGGACCCGAGUGAGGCGGCGCUGGACUGGCAGAGGGGGUGCGGCCGGGGGUGCUGGGGGGCAACUCUGGGUCCGGGAGCGCGAAGCAGAGGGCGGCCAGGCGGGGGCUGUGCCCGCCACCGACCUGGCGGCAGGAGGCUCGGGCCUCAGGCGUGAUGGCGCGGGGCCGGGAGGGGUGUCUGAGCUGAGGGAACUGCUUGUGUACCAAGGGCGUUGGAGAAGGUGUGUCCGACUCACCUCGGGGAACCGUGGAAAGGCCACAGCCGCCAGAAAAUCCUCUCGCCUCAAGGCAGGAGAGUGAAGGGUGUCGGAGGAGGACACUCCCACCAGGCUCAGAGUCACUCUGAUUCGGGAAGAUGACGGGCAGCGCACGGCAGACAGAACCCAAUCGCCCCGGAGCGAAGACCUAAGGCUCAGAGAUAACCACCGAGAAUCACGGUGUUGGGUAAUGGCAGGCAUGAGCAGAGCAAGGACGAUGGUCCAGGUACAGAAACUCACACCGGGACAGACACUCCCAAAUGCCUAGCACGGGGCGAAACAAGAACCCCAUCAUCCCCAGAUCACAUCGAGGCCUCAGUUGUAUUUCAGCUCCAGGCCCGGAAAAGCAUCAACGCAAGACAAGCGAGGCUGUGGCUGCCUUAGGACCAGUCAGUGGAGACCGGGACCCUGAGAGAGCACACCUGGAAAGCUGAUGAAUGUUCUAAGACCCUCCCCUAAGAUUUCUACCUGCAGGAAAGAGAGAAAUGUGCUCAGGACCAAGGACCCAGUGCAGGCUCUCCCUCCAAGGAGCACACCGGCGCCAUUCUCUUCCCCCACAGCCAUGUGUCCCCUAACUUUGAGAGAGUCCAUGAGACAUGCAACCAGGGGAGCAAGGGGCAGUGGCAGCUGCCGUGGACUAAACCCCCGAACCUGUCUCCAAGGCCCCCUUUUCUCUGACUUCUCAGUGAGCCAGAGCAGCCCAGCCGAGGCUCUCCUGUGGCUUCUAUGCUCUUCCUUGUUUCACUGUUCUAAGAACUAGUGUAUUUUUGCUGCCAUCAUGGGCCCAAUAAUACCCUUUGGCUCAGGGCUGUGUAGCCCUUCCCUUUGGCUACCCCAUCUCCCAUCCCCUUUUUCUUAAAAAAAUUUAGUUUUUCUUUAAUCACCACCUGAGAUGACUAUUUAGCCUGUCUGUUAACCACCAACUUUUAACUUUUCAGGUAACAGUUACAGAUUGCUGGCCAUAAAUAAUGUCAGUUCAUUUCAUCCUCUUUGCAACCUUGUAAGGUUAACUGGUAGUAGAAUCUUCUUUACAAAAAAACUGAGACACAGUUUAAAUAUUUUUUUUGUUUGUUAGUUUAAAAUCACAGCUAGUAGUAGUAGAAUUCCCUGUAAACAUUAAACUGGACACAGGGGUAAUUCUUCCGGUUGUUUAUAAUAUUGACAUAUUGGAGACACCUAAUUUCCCUUCAGCCGGGGGAAUGGCUAAAUUAACUAUGGAAUAUCCCGUUACAGAACACUAUUGUAAUACUUAUGUGGAAAGUUCCUUAGGAUGUAUUUUGGAGUGGAGAAUAAAUGCAAGUUGCAGAACAAUA